CGGCAUAGCACAGUUGGUAGUGCGACUGACCUGUAAUCAGUAGGUCGGGGGUUCAAGUCCCUCUGUCGG
rnacentral:tRNA from 1 species